CCCGCACAAGCGGAGGAACAUGUGGUUUAAUUCGAUGAUACGCGAGGAACCUUUACCUGGGCUAGAACGCAGAAUGACAGAUGCCGAAAGGUGUUUUCCCAGCAAUGGGCAUUUUGCGAGGUGCUGCAUGGUUGUCGUCAGCUCGUGCCGUGAGGUGUCGGGUUAAGUCCCAUAACGAGCGCAACCCCUAUUGUUAGUUGCCAUCAUUCAGUUGGGCACUCUAGCGAGACUGCCGGUAAUAAACCGGAGGAAGGUGGGGAUGACGUCAAAUCAUCAUGCCCCUUAUGACCUGGGCUACACACGUGCUACAAUGGUUGGUACAACGAGUUGCGAGUCGGUGACGGCGAGCUAAUCUCUUAAAGCUAAUCUCAGUUCGGAUUGUAGGCUGCAACUCGCCUACAUGAAGUCGGAAUCGCUAGUAAUCGCGGAUCAGCACGCCGCGGUGAAUACGUUCCCGGGCCUU
rnacentral:rRNA from 1 species